AACGCAUAUUGCACCCUCUGGUUAUUCCGGAGGGUAUAUCUGUUUGAGUGUCAUUAAUAUAUCAAACCAAUUAAAUUGGUCUUGGAUACUGAGAGUUGCUGGAUAUUUAAUGUCAGCUCUCUUCAAAUGCAUUAGCUUGGAAUGUAAAGCUACUUUAACUUAGGCUAAUAUGUAUUAAAUGCUUUUGUUAAUUGUUGCUUAUCUGAGCUUAUAAUUGUCCUUUGAGGACUGCCAUAGGCAUUUAUUAUUUGAUCAUGACCUCAAAUCAGAUAGGAUUACCCGCUGAACUUAA
rnacentral:misc_RNA from 1 species